rnacentral:rRNA from 1 species
UACAGAGGGGGCAAGCGUUGUUCGGAAUUACUGGGCGUAAAGGGUUCGUAGGUGGCCAACUAAGUCAGACGUGAAAUCCCUCAGCUUAACUGGGGAACUGCGUCUGAUACUGAUUGGCUUGAGUGCAGGAGAGGAAUGCGGAAUUCCAGGUGUAGCGGUGAAAUGCGUAGAUAUCUGGAGGAACACCGGUGGCGAAGGCGGCAUUCUGGACUGCAACUGACACUGAAGAACGAAAGCCAGGGGAGCAAACGGG